UACAGAGGUCUCAAGCGUUGUUCGGAUUCAUUGGGCGUAAAGGGUGCGUAGGUGGCGUCGUAAGUCGGGUGUGAAAUUUCGGAGCUUAACUCCGAAACUGCAUUCGAUACUGCGGUGCUUGAGGACUGGAGAGGAGACUGGAAUUUACGGUGUAGCAGUGAAAUGCGUAGAGAUCGUAAGGGAAGACCAGUGGCGAAGGCGGGUCUCUGGACAGUUCCUGACGCUGAGGCACGAAGGUCAGGGGAGCAAACGGG
rnacentral:rRNA from 1 species